UUAUUUUACUUUUAACUACUCACGUAGUAUGUCAAAACAGUUCUUAAAUUCAUUUGAUUUUCUCAUAAUUUUUUUUUGAAAAUGUAUUGCCCCUUAGAAGACGAAGCUGAUCCGGGUCCCCCAAAGAGAUUCAACAAUACUAAUCAUUUGUUUUUAAAAAUACUUGGUUUUGUUUUUGGACUUGGUGCAGCAUUGACAAUUUUUCUUUUAAUUUAUUAUUCAACUUUAUUAAAAUCCGAAAGAGAGAAUGAUGUUCUUAUAAAAUUUGAAAAAAUGCUUGAGAAAACAAAUGGAACUAAUUUGAGUCUUUGAUGAUUUUGAUUAAUUUGAUAAAAAUGUAUCCAAAUACUAAUUCAGCUUGGGGAGUUCCCAAUGCAAAUGAAUUCGUUCUGGAUUAUUCAAUUUUAUAUGAAGGAAUAAUUGGUUGUAUUCUAACCGGAUGUGGUAUAAUUAUACUAAUAUGCUUAGGAUUUGCUUUAAUUUUUCUUAUUCAGCCAUUCAUAAAUUACUUUCAACCAUCAUCAUCAGUGUCAAUAUUCAAUCAGACAAAUGAUAAAAUUGAUUACGAAA